GGGGUUUAGUCUAAAUAAGACGAUUGAUUUCGGCUCAAUAAAUUCUGAACGCUCAGAAACACCU
rnacentral:tRNA from 2 species